GGGCCGGUAGUUCAGUGGUAGAAACAGUCAAGAAACUGAUAUAGUAUCUGCCUCGCACGCGGAAGGUCGGGGGUUCAAAUCCCCCCCGGUCCA
rnacentral:tRNA from 1 species